rnacentral:rRNA from 1 species
UACAGAGGUCUCAAGCGUUGUUCGGAUUCAUUGGGCGUAAAGGGCGCGUAGGCGGCCAACUAAGUCCGACGUGAAAUCCCCAGGCUUAACCUGGGAACUGCGUCGGAUACUGGAUGGCUUGAAUUCGGGAGAGGGAUGCAGAAUUCCAGGUGUAGCGGUGAAAUGCGUAGAUAUCUGGAGGAACACCGGUGGCGAAGGCGGGUCGCUGGGCCGAUACUGACGCUGAGGAGCGAAAGCGUGGGGAGCGAACAGG